GGGGGUGUGGCUCAGCGGUAGAGCGCUCACCUAACAUGGGGGCAGUGCUGGGUUCGAUCCUCAGCACCACAU
rnacentral:tRNA from 1 species